UCUCGUUCAGUUAAGUUGGCAACAGCAGGAAAGCACUCUGGGUAUUUUCGCGCGUUUUUGAAGUUUAUUUACGUCUCGUCGUCUGCAAAAAGAGCUCGAUUAAAAUAAGUUAAACGCUAUCGAGAGCCCAAAACUAUCCCUGGAAGAUGUAUUAAAGCAUGUCGAUAUCGUUCACGAUGUCAGAAGCAUAAUAGAGAACAAGAAAACGGAUGCAAUAUCAAGUAGUGAAAAGUUGACAUAAGGGGGCAGAUAAUCCAGGAGGUGGUCCAUCAGCUACACAUGUAUCAGGAGACCAGCCAGGCCGAAGCAAGUGGAAACGACAGAGGGUAUCACUGUCUGUGUCAGCUAAAGAGUUGGGUCCAUAGGCCAAUGCGAAGAGAGAGUUAGCUGAACUACAACUGGUGCUGUUGCAAAAGCAGCAUGACGAGUCACAGAGGAGAGAAGAAGAGCUUUUUCAAUUAAAGAAAGACAGCCUAGAGCUGAAAAUUAAGAUUAGAAAAGAAAAACCAAA